GUUUUCUCUGAGUACUCUAGUUUGCUCUCUCAUUCCAAAGUCAUGCACAUUAGGUUAAUUGGCAUGUCUACAUGGACUCAGUGUGAGUGAAUGUGAGCAUGGGUGUGAGUGUGCUCUGCCAUGAGAGAUUGUCCUGUUCAGGGCUGGUUCCCACCUCACUCCGUGAGCUGCUGGGAUGGGCUCUGGCCACCCAUGACCAUGAACUGGAAAUAAGCAGGUAUGGACAAGGUUCUGACCCUUAUUAUUGGAACUCAAAUCCAGAUGGAGUUUGCUCCUGGUAACCUCGAUUCUACAUUGUCUCUACAAAUUUGCCUAUUCUAGGGUACCUAAUUUGGGACUUCACAUCAUUGGAAGGUGAAUAGAAAAGUAUGUCUUAAGAAUUUCACCAUGUUUUGGAAGAAUUGCAGCAAGAAAAAAAGAACUCCUUUGUUUCCACCCCAUUUCUUUUAAGGAAAACCUGGAAUAUCUGAGGGUGCAAGCUGAGAAAAGUCUGCUUAUCUGUUCCCUACUCUGGCAAUCAAAAAGGAUCCAAGUCUACUGUUCUCUUCUCCUGGCACUCUUAACUUGCACACAUUGCAACCUUUUAUGGCAAAGUAAUGGUCAAGCUAUCCUAACAAGGACGAGCCCUUAUUAAAUAAUUCACUGUGGUUGGGAAAUGGUGAGGAAGCCAUCUUCUUUUGUCUUCUUUUCUCUGAAAAUAAAAUUUUGUCUAAUUUUGUAUUAAGGACAUUUGGGCUUCACUUUAUUACAUUCUCUACUUUCUUUAAUAGCUCGAAGCUCAUGACAGUACAUGUCUGGUCUUGCAAAACAAGAUGAAUUUGUUAAAUUAAACUUUUAAAAAAAAUCAGUGUAACUGGCCAUCUUUCAUUAUAAAAUAUUUUUUCUCUCAAUUCAAGCCAAUUGUGUGGGGUAUGUGUGUUGUGUGUGUGUGUGUGUGUGUGUGUGUGUCUGCCUUUAUGUGCUGCCUGAAAGCCAUAUGUCCUUCCUCAGGAUAGAAUUUUUAAUUCUAGGUAAUAAAUCUCAAACUUUUGAGAACUAAACUGGAAAUGCCACCUCUGACUUAUCAAUUGUUUCUGGCCUGUGCUUCUACAAAACACACAGCACAUAUUUUCUAACCAUAAUUGAAACCAUUUUAAAAUAGUGUUUUUGGAGGAGUGAAUCUAUGUGAAACUUCUGUAAGCUAUUUGUAGGACAGCCGUGAAAAUCCUCCAUGUUCUAUGCAUUGGAUUUUUUUUCCUCCUUACUCACAAGGAUCAUCUUCAGGUUAAUAUCACAGAAAUUGGGACAACUUAGUGUUCGAGAAAUAGAGAAAUAGCUCAAGGAGCUAUUAGAUACCAACCCAUACCAUGUUGUUUUCUGAGGGUGGGAGAAACUAGAAGAAAGUUUGACAUUACUCUCAUUCCAUGAGACAACCUCAAGAACACAAACCCAAACUAUCCAGGUAGGACUUUUAGUUUAGGGAGACCACCAAAAGAACUGGAGCCCAUUUCCUCUGGUGAUUCAACAAGAUUAACAGCCCCUCCUGAAGUUUUUGUCCAGUGGCCUAGAAUCUAAAUAUGUGCUCAUACCCAGUUCUUUGUCUUCAAUUCCCGAGUCUUCUGUGUGACUCAUUCUGAAAGUCCAGGUGUGGAAGGGAGAGGCGCAUGGAGGAAAAAGCCAGGCUCAGAAUUUAUAUUUGUUUAAUGCCACAUGUUCCCAAACUAUUUCUGGGCUGUUUCAAAAACUGGUCUGCACAGAUAUUAAUCUCUGUAACCAUAUGUCUGAAACAUUUCAUCACUGGGAAACAGCUGAAAGUAGUUGGUGAGGCUCUGUGGGAUCCAUGUUAGGUAUUGUAAGUAUGGUCAGAAGAAGAGCCUGUAUCUGGAGCUUAUGGGAAAAUAAUGAGAAAUGCCUGUACCUCCUCUUUCUUAUUUUUGAGGUUGGCUGCAUGACUACAGUUGUUAGGCCCAGGUAAGUUUAUUCCCAAAGAGUAAGGGUUGGGAUGGAUGGUAUGUGUGG
rnacentral:lncRNA from 10 species